rnacentral:rRNA from 1 species
AGGACGAGGAAAGAAAGCGAAUGCGAUUCCGUAAGUAGUGGCGAGCGAAAGCGGAUUAGCCCAAACCGGAGGGUUUCCCUCCGGGGGUUGUAGGAGCCCGAUGUGGCAGGUGAAAAGUUAGGUGAAGCGAAUGGAAAAUCGCUCCAAAGAGGGUGAAAGGCCCGUAACCGAAAACUGGACACCGCCUAGGGAAUUCCUGAGUAAUGCGAUACACGUGAAACUUCGCAUGAAUCUGUGCCGACCACGGCAUAAGGCUAAAUACUCGCUAGCGACCGACAGUGAACAAGUACCGCGAGGGAAAGGUGAAAAGUUCCGCCGUGAGCGAAGUGAAAUAGAACCUGAAACCAUGUGCCUACAAGGUGUCAGAGUCCGGCUUGCCGGAUGAUGGCGUGCCUUUUGCUUAAUGAGUCUGCGAGUCAGUGCGUGUGGCAAGCCUAAGCCCUUCUGGGGUGGAGGCGGAGCGAAAGCGAGUCCGAAUAGGGCGAUUAGUUGCACGCGCUGAACCCGAAGCGGUGGUGAUCUACCCAUGGCCA